rnacentral:rRNA from 1 species
AACGAACGCUGGCGGCGUGCCUAACACAUGCAAGUCGAGCGGGAAAGUUCCCUUCGGGGAGCGAGUACAGCGGCGCACGGGUGAGUAACACGUAGGUAACCUACCCUGGAGACCGGGAUAACCUGCCGAAAGGCGGGCUAAUACCGGAUAAGACCACGAGGGCUGUGGCCCUUGCGGAAAAAGAUGGCCUCUGCUUGCAAGCUAUCACUCUGGGAUGGGCCUGCGCGCCAUUAGCAGUUGGUGAGGUAACGGCUCACCAAGGCCGAGAUGGCUAGCUGGUCUGAGAGGAUGGCCAGCCACACUGGGACUGAGACACGGCCCAGACUCCUACGGGAGGCAGCAGUGGGGAAUAUUGCGCAAUGGGCGAAAGCCUGACGCAGCGACG